UGCGAAGACGGAUGAUGCGUCAGAAUGUAUAUAUAUAUAUUGAACAUAAUAUAGCUUUGUAUGAUAUUCUUUUACUUGCUAGCAACUUACAAAAACGCAAAAGAAAUGUAGCAAAGAUGGCCACAUAAAUGUGAAGUAUAUAACGGGUCAUCGAGGGCUGGUCGAGAAUUCACAUCAGCAAGCCGGCUACAACUACAGCACGAGCAGGGGAUGAAAGUAAACGUUUUGUCUGGGAAGGUGCACAGAUAUCAGCGAAUGAGUAUUUAGUAAUUUACUACGAGCCGUUGUGCCGCAGCUGCCUCUGCUCAUGUCUUCACCUACCAUCACGCCAAACAGGACCAAGCCAUUCUGUCUCUGUGGCUGGGGGAUGGGCAGAGCAGGCUGCCCGGGUUUGCUACUCAUCACAUUGGAGUGGCAGGUAGUAUAGUCAUUGUGUAACCUGACCUAUAUCACAGGUUUAUACUGCUCAGGAUCAGGUCUGCUUCAGGUAUCGUAAAGCCUUUACACACACACACGCUUGUGCAGAAAUAUUCAUGGGGCAAAUAUCAGUUAUUUCAAAUGUAGUUUGUGUUUGACAUGCAAACAAAUAGACUUGGGCUGUGUGAGAGUGGAAAACAAUGUUCAGGGCAGGGAACAGCACGUUGGAUGGCAGUUUUUUAUAUUUUUAUAUAAACACCAACACAAUCAUCCACCAGGUGGCGUGCUGUUUCCUUUAUACCUCCCCCAAAGUGGAUGCAAGCAUGUCAGAACAUGUCUGUGGAAAGAGGACAGCCAAAACCUGGUCCACAUGGUCUGAUGGCAUGUUGCCAACAGUAACUUGCGGGACCCCACCAUCGUGACUUUACUCCUUUAGUACACGCUCUCUCCCUCUUUGUGUGAUUGUGUGGUUGGAGACCGGUGUGCUGCAGUCAGAGCAAAUCCCUUCCAGCUGCAACUCGUUCCAUAAUCAAGACCUCUACAAAUACUUAGUCCUGCCACUUCCACUCUGCCAGAUUGUAAUCUCUGUUACUGCUUUGUCUCUUGCUCCUGUCUCCUGUUCCACAUCUCACCACCCAACUACCUUGUUCUCGAUUUUACUCACCAUCAAAACAUUGGAUUCCCCUCAGGAUCUGUUUACCAAGUUCUACUCAGCCAACUCCAACCUCUGUCUCCACAUCUGGUUUUUCUGCAACUCAUCCUAGCUUCCCCGGAUCUGCACUCCAUAUCUCUCUGUGUAACAAUAAAUAUUUUGGUUCAUUCA